rnacentral:rRNA from 1 species
UACGUAGGGUGCGAGCGUUGUCCGGAAUUAUUGGGCGUAAAGAGCUCGUAGGCGGUGUGUCGCGUCGGCCGUGAAAACCUGCAGCUUAACUGUGGGCUUGCGGUCGAUACGGGCAUCACUGGAGUUCGGCAGGGGAGACUGGAAUUCCUGGUGUAGCGGUGAAAUGCGCAGAUAUCAAGAGGAACACCUGAGGUGAAGACGGGUUGCUAGGCUGACACUGACGCUGAGGCGCGAAAGCCAGGGGAGCAAACGGG